GGAGAGGUGGCUGAGUGGGGAAAAGCGCUCCCCUGCUAAGGGAGUACGGUUUCUGACCGUUGCAGGUUCAAAUCCUGUCCUCUCCG
rnacentral:tRNA from 1 species